AGUGAACGCUGGCGGCAGGCCUAACACAUGCAAGUCGAACGGCAGCGGGCAGUAGCAAUACUGUGCCGGCGAGUGGCGGACGGGUGAGGAAUACAUCGGAAUCUACCUUGUCGUGGGGGA
rnacentral:rRNA from 1 species